CCCUGUCGAUAUAAGCUAGUGCCAAGAGGGGAGACAUGUAGAUAUGCAACUUUUAUUUAAAAUAAAGUUAUCGGUAAUACAUUCGUAAGUUUUUCGAGCUCCAUGGUCGUGGGAGGUCUGCUCCUCCGAGUUCCUUGAGGUAAUAAGUUUCGGGUCGGACUACUUCUUUGACCUCAUACGGGCCUUCCCAGUUUGGGGCGAGCUUCCCUCGAUCCUGAGGUUGCGAGAUAGCAGCUCGUCGAAGUACUAGAUCUCCCGCUCUAAAGGCUUUAUUCUUGACCCGAGAAUUGUAAUAGCGGGCGACUUUCUGUCUGUAGGCUGCCAUCCGAACUUGAGCUACCUCCCGCUUUUCUUCCAGUAAGUCAAGGUUGGCUUUAAGACCUUGCGAGUUAUGAUGUUCGUUGAAUGCCACGACUCGUGCCGA
rnacentral:lncRNA from 1 species